rnacentral:rRNA from 1 species
GACGAACGCUGGCGGCGUGCUUAACACAUGCAAGUCGAACGGAAAGGCCCUGCUUUUGUGGGGUGCUCGAGUGGCGAACGGGUGAGUAACACGUGAGUAACCUGCCCUUGACUUUGGGAUAACUUCAGGAAACUGGGGCUAAUACCGGAUAGGAGCUCCUGCUGCAUGGUGGGGGUUGGAAAGUUUCGGCGGUUGGGGAUGGACUCGCGGCUUAUCAGCUUGUUGGUGGGGUAGUGGCUUACCAAGGCUUUGACGGGUAGCCGGCCUGAGAGGGUGACCGGCCACAUUGGGACUGAGAUACGGCCCAGACUCCUACGGGAGGCAGCAGUGGGGAAUAGUGCACAAUGGGCGGAAGCCUGAUGCAGCAACGCCGCGUGCGGGAUGACGGCCUUCGGGUUGUAAACCGCUUUCGCCUGUGACGAAGCGUGAGUGACGGGAAUGGGUAAAGAAGCACCGGCUAACUACG